GUAUAUAUAUUAUUGGAAUGAUAUAGAAAAGAUUAGCAUAGCCCCUGUGCAAGGGUAAUGUACAAAUUCAUGGAGAUUUUAUUUAUUUAU
rfam:Erinaceus europaeus unplaced genomic scaffold scaffold00456, whole genome shotgun sequence